rnacentral:lncRNA from 1 species
AACUCUGAAGGAAUAUAACCUGCAAUGUCUGCAUUAUUAAGAUCAAUUCCAGCUACAACUUGAACUUUUGAAUCAUUAAGAGAAGGUGCACAAAAAAUUCCUUGGUAAGAACAUACAUCAGGACCCACCCAAUUCAUCGUAACAUUUGAUGGGUCUGAAUAAAUUGCAUUUUUCCAUGCUUGAAGUGCUAUGUAAGCACUUUUGAUUCCAGGAUGAGGAAAAGUUAAAUUUGUUGUAUAGUUAUCUGCGAAAUUUUCAGGUAAAUCCUCGCUUUCUUGAAGGUGUAACAAUUGACGACGGGCAAUAAAAGAAGCUUCUUCAUGUGAAAGUGCAUGGGAUAAAAUUGAUGUUGAUGAAAAGAAGACAAAUGAGAACAAGAGAAAGCAGCCUGGGGCUUGCAUUUUGUGAAGACGCCACCUUGGUAUACACUCCAAGGUUGCUUAUAGAGAGGUAAUUAAGAAGGAAGGGGGAAGAAGAUAAAUUAAGAAGGGAUAUAAUUAUCUUGAGAGACAGAAGAAUGAAAUGUGUGUAUUAAGCCAUAUAUGAGAGGCUAUGCAAAUAUUUCUGAAUAAUCCACAAUAGGAAUAACCUUUAUACAAAAUGUUGGUGACAUAAAAUUAGAACAUGUUUUCUUUGUCUCAAAUUCUCAACCCAUUGUCGUGUCUCUAAUUUUAGAGGGUGGUUUCAACCAUGGUUUUCAUUGCCUUAAUUUGGCAAUUAAAGUUUUCCUUGCCUAAAUUUGCGAUUCAUGUAGUAUCUCUCAGAGUUAACAACCAUUUGUCUAGUUAGUGGUUAAUAUAUCUACGUAUAAAAUAAAACCUAUGAUGUUUAGUUAGUGGUUAAUAUAUCUACCUAGAAAAUAAAACCUACGAUUAAUUCCAUUAAUUUCAUUCCAAUCACAAUCAUUUAGAUAUUGUUUUAAUUUUCUAUAUUUGGAAGAGUGUUCCACAAACACUUCAAUAAUUCAUUUUUUAUACUUUAAUAAUCCCUAUGUGGAUCACCAAUAAAUGUCCUUCAAUAAGGAUAAUUUUGCUGGGUCACAUUAUCCGAAUUUGAUCAUAGCUGAAGAAAUUUCUUAAUGCCAUCUUGGGGAAUGUUAUCCUGCGAGAAUGAGAGAGAAAGUCCCUCAACAAAGGUUUAAGGAUGGAUUUUAUCCUCCAUUUCCUUCCGAGACUUUAUUUCUCGACAUUUUAUUAACAUCUAUGUGUAUAUUCAAGUAUUUUAUAUAUUUAUUUAUAUUUUUAAACAAUGAGUAUAAAUUUUAUUUAUAUGUGAUGUGAUGUUUCAACUAAUUUAAUAGAAAAUAAUAGAAAUUUGACGGAUCUCUACAAAAACUGCAGAUCUUCGAGGAUGGAGAUGGAAAAUAGUACUCCUUGAAGCGGAGAAUGU